AGUGGGAUCACUUAGAAAGAGCCAACAGUCCAGGCCAUGAUAAACUGGUACCCAGCUCUGCUUCACAUGUAAUUGUCCAUCUGGCGUGGCAGCAGCUCCUUCCUGCAAAGCAAUGUUGAAGAAACUAUGGAAGCAAGAAGGAAGCAUGGAUUCUAGAAACUGAUGACAAACCACUUACCCCUAUUGCUCUUCUUCCUAAAGCUAAAGGAUCAAACUGCAUCAUGGAAGCUGCACACGAUGACACCCUGUCUGGAAAGUUUUUGCCAGACGGCAAAAGACUGCAAGCAGAAUAUCCCUUCGCCAUUUCUCAUUCAGGCCUGGCCGUUGUCAGAAAGCAAACCUCAAGGACAGGACUUUUUGGACUCUGCAGCCUCUCCAGGCUGCUGCUCCACCACAUGAAGUCCAGCAGGUGGCAGUGCACCCCGCGCAGACCCGGCUUGCCUGUCUUGGCCCGAGGGAGUCCGUUUGAUGCGCAGUCGGGAAGUGGGUCUGCACGCACCUCGCUGCAGCUGUGGCAAACGCAAGCGAUGACACACAGGCUUGACGAGGGCCUUUGUCAGAAGCAAUGGGGAUCUGGCGUCACCGCACAAUGGAAAACAAAGUGCUUCUGCCUGGCUGGCCAGAAUGCACGUUUGCUCACUAUUGAUGCCGGGGCAUUUACAGGCAGAAUGAGUUCAUGUGAAAUUUCAGGGUCUGCCAUGACUCAGAUUCACUUUCUGUAAACCAGAGUCAACAUUACAUUUCCCUUUACUCUGAGCCAUUCCUUGAGUUUUUAGGUCACCAGUUGUUUUUGUACUAACCGAAGGGAUUUGAGUAUUUUUUAUGCACCUUAUUUUUAUUAUUAUUUUUAGGGCAUUACCAACUUGGGACGGAUCUGUAGUGUGAGAGAUUGUUGUCACUCUUAGCUCCAAACAUAGAUUGGCUUUAUAUAUUAUUUACAUGUUCAGAAUUAUAUUGUGUAGAAAUUCAAGUGAAACUUGCAAAAUACUUUUCUGGCAGGAAGCCCUGGAGAGGAUCGUUCAUGGAAACAAGGAUGACGACUGUGGUAAGAAAUGCAGGUGACUCGUGAGUGGGCAGGGAGUGGAAGAGAAGAUGGCUGGAAGGUUUUAGCAUUCAGAAAAAAAAUGGAGACAACUAGAGCUGAUCUGAAGAUUAUGGCAGAAUUCAAUAUUGGGGCAAAGAAACAAGAUGGAGGUUAGAAAUUAGAAACAGCAGAGCUCCGCAGAUUGGAAAGGAUUUGAGCAAGAGAACAAAAAGGAGCCUGCUAAUAGCACCCUGGGUUUACAUCAAGAGAAGCACUUGGAGAGAAUUAACUCAGGAGGAGGUAGGGGCAUGGGAAACCUUUUCAUCUCCAAGAGCCGGCAGGAACAGCAGCUGGCCUGAACUUGAAGGUACACCAGGUAGCUUGCCCGGGCCAGGAGAGGGUGAUUCUCUUCUAUGCCUCUCUCCAGUGCCCUGCUUCUGAUGCUGCUCCUCUACCCGUAGUGCGGGGAAGAUAUAUCCCUAAGAAGUUCCCUGCACCCCAUUCCUUGUUCUGGCUAACUGGUCCCCUAGGAAUUUUUCUCCUAAUUUUCAAUUCCCCUUCUCACCUGGUGAAAUCUGCUCUUACUGUUCAAUAAAAGUUCUUCUACC